CCAGCUGUAGCGACUCUUCAAACAUAGUUACUGAUUAACAAAACUUGACUUAGAGGCAGAAAUGAAAAUUUUAUGCAACUAGUUGGCUUAGGUUCACUUGUAUACUGUUUUAACAAGUAAAAAAAAAAAAAAGAAAGAAAAGAAAUAUGGGGAGAGGGAGGAACCCUGUGACUAUCAUUCUCCUUCCCUUUUAUCCUGCUUCUGAGGCUAAGGACUCUUCUUAAUUUCUCCUGUCAGAAAGGAAAGCAAUUUUGCCUUGAAACAGGUGUUAUGCCCAGAAUUCGUGAUCCCCAAAGACCACUAGGGAGCCGAGUCCGAUGCAAAAGCAAAGAGCCUUUAUUCGAGCUAGCUCGAGCUCAAUCCCCUACCUGCACCGACGCAGCGGUGAGAUACCAGGGAAAGAGCCCGAGUUUCAAAAAGGACAAAGGUUUUAUUGGGGCCUGGGGGCAGUUGGUGAGGUAAUGGCUGUGGCCUCAGCUGAUUGGCUGGGGAGGGGUCCUGGGGAAGGGUCUGGCAGGUGAGGGAGGGUUUACUCAAGGGGAGGAGGUGUGGUCAAGGUGAAGGACACAGAACAAGAUGGCGAGGGGAGGAGGUGUGGUCAAGGUGAAGGACACAGAACAAGAUGGCGAGGGGAGGAGGUGUGGUCAAGGUGAAGGACACAGAACAAGAUGGCGAGGGGAGGAGGUGUGGUCAA
rnacentral:lncRNA from 1 species